rnacentral:rRNA from 1 species
GUGAAUCCGGUCGGGGGACACUGUUAGGCGGGCAGUUUGACUGGGGCGGUCGCCUCCCAAAAGGUAACGGAGGCGCUCAAAGGUUCGUUCAGCACGGACGGAAAUCGUGCAAUGAGUGUAAACGCAUAAACGAGCCUAACUGCGAGACCGACGGGUCGAGCAGUAACGAAAGUUGGAGUUAGUGAUCCGGUGGUAUGUGAGUGGAAAUGCCAUCGCUCAACGGAUAAAAGCUACCCUGGGGAUAACAGGCUGAUCUCCCCCAAGCGUCCACAGCGACGGGGAGGUUUGGCACCUCGAUGUCGGCUCGUCGCAUCCUGGGGCUGAAUUCGGUCCCAAGGGUUUGGCUGUUCGCCAAUUAAAGCGGCACGCGAGCUGGGUUCAGAACGUCGUGAGACAGUUCGGUCCCUAUCUGUUGCGGGCGUAAGAGAUUUGAAGGGAGCUGUCCUUAGUACGAGAGGACCGGGAUGGACGUACCUCUGGUGCACCAGUUGUCCUGCCAAGGGCAUAGCUGGGUAGCUAUGUACGGACGAGAUAAACGCUGAAAGCAUCUAAGCGUGAAACUCCCCCUAAGAUGAGAUCUCUCAUCCUUCAAGGAGUAAGGACCCAGAAAGACGAUCUGGUUGAUAGGCCGAAGGUGGAAGCGCAGUAAUGUGUGCAGCUGAUCGGUACUAAUAGUCCGAGGGCUUGACCU